rnacentral:rRNA from 1 species
AUGAUGGCGCCGCCGCGGCUGCUGCUGCUGGCCGCCGCCGCGCUGCUCGGAUGCGCGCACGCCGCGACGGACACGGGCGGGCUGAGCCGCGGGUCGUUCCCCAAGGGCUUCGUCUUCGGGACGGCCACCUCGGCCUUCCAGGUCGAGGGCGCGGCCACCGCCGGCGGCCGCGGGCCCUCCAUCUGGGACCCCUUCGUCCACACCCCCGGGAACAUUGCCGACAACGCGAAUGCAGAUGUCGCCACGGAUGAGUACCAUCGCUACAAGGAGGAUGUUGAUCUCCUGAAAAGCCUGAAUUUCGACGCGUAUCGGUUUUCAAUCUCAUGGUCCAGGAUCUUCCCAGAUGGGGAGGGGAAGGUCAACAAAGAAGGUGUAACGUAUUACAACAAUCUGAUAGACUACAUCCUUAAGCAAGGGCUCACCCCUUAUGUCAAUCUCAACCACUAUGAUAUCCCUCUUGCGCUUCAGAAGAAGUAUGAUGGCUUUUUAAGCCCAAAGAUCGCGAACAUAUUUGCGGACUAUGCUGAAUUUUGUUUCAAGACUUAUGGUGAUCGAAUUAAGAACUGGUUCACAUUCAAUGAGCCAAGGAUAGUGGCAGCACUUGGCUUUGAUACUGGAACGAAUCCCCCUAACAGGUGCACCAAAUGCGCUGCCGGUGGGAACUCAGCAACAGAGCCUUACACUGUUGUUCAUAACAUUCUCUUAUCUCAUGCUACUGCAGUUGCGAGAUACCGCAACAAGUACCAGGCAAGUCAGAAAGGCAAAGUUGGGAUAGUUCUGGACUUCAACUGGUAUGAAGCUGCUACCAACUCACCCGCCGACCAAGCAGCAGCUCAAAGGGCUAGGGACUUCCAUGUUGGUUGGUUUCUUGAUCCACUACUGAAUGGCCAAUACCCGAAGACCAUGCAAGAUAUUGUAAAAGAGAGGUUACCUAGUUUCACACCUGAACAAUCCAAGUUAGUCAAGGGCUCUGUAGAUUAUAUUGGGAUAAAUCAGUACACAGCGACCUACAUGGCGGACCAACCAAUGCCCCAGCAACCACCAACAAGCUACUCAUCAGACUGGCAUGUUCAAUAUAUAUUUCAGCGAAAUGGCGUACCGAUUGGACAGAAGGCGAACUCCAAUUGGCUUUACAUCGUGCCGACGGGCAUGUACGGAUGUGUGAACUACAUAAGGGAGAAGUACAACAACCCGACGAUCAUCAUAUCCGAAAACGGAAUGGACCAACCCGCGAACCUGACCCGCGAGGAGUUCCUGCACGACGCCUCCAGGGUCGAGUUCUACAAGACGUACCUCGCGGAGCUGAAGAAGGCGAUCGACGACGGCGCGAACGUGGUCGGCUACUUUGCGUGGUCGCUCCUCGACAACUUCGAGUGGCUGUCGGGCUACACCUCCAAGUUCGGCAUCGUGUACGUCGACUUCACCACCCUCAAGCGGUACCCCAAGGACUCGGCCUACUGGUUCAAGAAGAUGCUGCAGGCGUCGGGGCCCGGCUCCUCGAAAGACGGCACGGUUACUUCCGGCGGCACUCAGGCUGGCUCCGGCGUGUCAGGCAGCAACAUGGCAGCAGCUGGUGGUUCGGCCACCUCGAGCAGCCCCCGGGUUCUGCUCUCCCUGCUGGUUUGCUUGUAUCUGCUUCUUCCCUCCAUCUUCAUGCUCUCCUUCUAG